AUGAGGCCAGACACUCCCAGUGACUCAGUAACUCUGUUCUGUCCUUUAAAUAGACCAAAAUGUAAAAUAAAGUUUCUCUCUUUUAUCAGGAAAAGAACCCAAGAGUCUGUUUGUCUUUCUCUACUCAUUUAUUGCUCUUCUCUUCCUGGAGCUCCAAGUUUUAGCAUUUGCUACACUGGCAGAAGCAAACAUUCAAUGGCUGCUUACAGUUUCGGAGGCCUGCUUAGGCCCAGGGGACCAAGACUUGUGUGCAAUUGUACUCCGGUUGCCUUGCCCACGUUACUUGCACACCUGCUUAAUGGAAGUGCAUGGUACGGAGAAGUCAGAGCCUCUCAUUCUCUCACCGACAGAGUCAAUGAGGAACUCCACCCUGAGAAGUGCAUGACGUGGGAGCUGCUGUCCUGUGUGUUAGCCUGCAAUGAUAAGGUACCAAAAAGACCAACCAGAUUGAACCAGAAAGUAAUGAAUAUUCCUCAGAACUUCACUGAUGUCUUAAGAUGAGGGGAUUACAUGUCAGUUACAGAAUUGUUGUCAUUAAAACUUUUUUUCUGGGCUGGAGAGAUGGCUCACUGGUUAAGGGCACUGGCUGCUCUUCCAGAGGUCCUGAGUUUGAUUCCCAGCAACCACAUAGUGGCUCACAACCAUCUAUAAUGACAUCUGGUGCCCUCUAUGGCCUGCAGGCAUACAUGCAGGCAGAACGCUGUAUACAUAAUAAAAAAAAAAUCUUAAAAAAAAAGAAAGAAAAU
rnacentral:lncRNA from 1 species